UACGUAGGGUGCGAGCGUUAAUCGGAAUUACUGGGCGUAAAGCGUGCGCAGGCGGUUUUGUAAGACAGAUGUGAAAUCCCCGGGCUCAACCUGGGAACUGCAUUUGUGACUGCAAGGCUGGAGUGCGGCAGAGGGGGAUGGAAUUCCGCGUGUAGCAGUGAAAUGCGUAGAUAUGCGGAGGAACACCAGUGGCGAAGGCGGCCACCUGGACAGUAACUGACGCUGAGGCGCGAAAGCGUGGGUAGCAAACAGG
rnacentral:rRNA from 1 species